UACAGAGGUCUCAAGCGUUGUUCGGAUUCAUUGGGCGUAAAGGGUGUGUAGGUGGCUCCGUAAGUCGGGUGUGAAAUUUCGGAGCUUAACUCCGAAACUGCAUUCGAUACUGCGGUGCUUGAGGACUGGAGAGGAGACUGGAAUUCAUGGUGUAGCAGUGAAAUGCGUAGAGAUCAUGAGGAAGACCAGUGGCGAAGGCGGGUCUCUGGACAGUUCCUGACACUGAGACACGAAGGCCAGGGGAGCAAACGGG
rnacentral:rRNA from 1 species